GCUGGGCGUGGUGGCUCACGCCUGUAAUCCCAGCAUCCUGGGAGGCUGAGGUGGGCGGAUUACCUGAGGUCAGGGGUUCAAGACCAGCCUGGCCAACAUGGUGAAACCCCAUCUCUA
ensembl:misc_RNA Metazoa_SRP Metazoan signal recognition particle RNA